rnacentral:rRNA from 1 species
GAUGAACGCUAGCGGCAGGCUUAAUACAUGCAAGUCGUGGGGCAGCAUGAAUGUAGCAAUACAUUUGAUGGCGACCAGCAAACGGGUGCGGAACACGUACACAACCUUCCUAUAAGUGGGGAAUAGCCCAGAGAAAUUUGGAUUAAUACCCCGUAACAUAACGAUGUGGCAUCACAUUGUUAUUAUAGCUUCGGCGCUUAUUGAUGGGUGUGCGGCUGAUUAGAUAGUUGGCGGGGUAACGGCCCACCAAGUCUACGAUCAGUAGCUGAUGUGAGAGCAUGAUCAGCCACACGGGCACUGAGACACGGGCCCGACUCCUACGGGAGGCAGCAGUAAGGAAUAUUGGUCAAUGGACGCAAGUCUGAACCAGCCAUGCCGCGUGAAGGAUUAAGGUCCUCUGGAUUGUAAACUUCUUUUAUCUGGGACGAAAAAAGGCUUUUCUAAGUCACUUGACGGUACCAGAUGAAUAAGCACCGGCUAACUCCGUGCCAGCAGCCGCCGUAAAAC